rnacentral:rRNA from 1 species
UCCUGGCUCAGGAUGAACGCUGGCGGCGUGCUUAACACAUGCAAGUCGAACGAAGCAGCUUUCUUGCUUGCAAGAGAGUUGACUUAGUGGCGGACGGGUGAGUAACGCGUGGGUAACCUGCCUCAUACAGGGGGAUAACAGUUGGAAACGACUGCUAAGACCGCAUAACCCGCUAGUGUCGCAUGACACGGACGGAAAAUAUUUAUAGGUAUGAGAUGGGCCCGCGUCUGAUUAGCUAGUUGGUAAGGUAACGGCUUACCAAGGCGACGAUCAGUAGCCGACUUGAGAGAGUGAUCGGCCACAUUGGGACUGAGACACGGCCCAAACUCCUACGGGAGGCAGCAGUGGGGAAUAUUGGACAAUGGGGGAAACCCUGAUCCAGCGAACCGCCGCGUGAGUGAAGAAGUAUUUCGGUAUGUAAAGCUCUAUCAGCAGGGAAGAUAAUGACAGUACCUGACUAAGAAGCCCCGGCUAACUACGUGCCAGCAGCGGC